CUGGGCUGCAGGUCCGGAGCCCUGCCCCGCGGGAAGGCAGCUAAGGACGGGCGAGAAAUUAAGCACAGCAGCUGCUGGCCCAGGUGCUAAGCCCCUCACUGCCUGGGGCUGGCGGGGCCGGCAGGCCGCUCCGAGUGCGGGCCCGCCGAGCCUACGCCCACCCGGAACUCGCGCUGGCCCGGAAGCACCGCGCGCAGCCCCGGUUCCGGCCCGCGCCUCUCCCUCCACACCUCCCCACAAGCUGAGGGAGCCGGCUGCGGCCUUCGCCAGCCCAGAAAGGGGCUCCUACAGUGCAGUGGCGGGCUGAAGGGCUGCUCAAGCGCCGCCAAAGUGGGAGCCCAGGCAGAGGAGGCGCCCAGAGCGAGCGAGGGCUGUGAGGACUGCCAGCACGCUGUCACCUCUCACUCAUAUAGAUUGCCAAUCUAUUUGUGAACCAGGUUUGCUGGAGUUUGGAUUUACUACUGAGUCAUAUUUGGAGCAUGCUGGAAUCUUACAACUGAGAUUACCGAGUCAGAAACUGUUGUUUUUGUUGUAAGAACACUCAACAUGGCCGGGCACGGUGGCUCACACCUGUAAUCCCAGCACUUUGGGAGGCCGAGGCAGGUGGAUCACCUGAGGUCAGGAGUUCAAGACCAGCCUUACCAACAUGGUGAAACCCCAUCUCUACUAAAAACACAAAAAAGGUGGGUGUGGUGGCAGGCACCUGUAAUCCCAGCUUUUCGGGAGGCUGAGACAGGAGAAUCACUUGAACCCGAGAGGCAGUGGUUGCAGUGAGCUGAUAUCACGCCAGUGCACUCCAGCCUGGGUGACAGAGUAAGACUCUGUCUCAAACAAACAAGCAAACAAAAAACCAAAACAAAACAAAACACUCAACAUGUCUAUACUCUUAAUAAAUUUUUAAAUGCAAAAUACUAUUGCUAACUAUAGGCAGUAUGCCGUACAGCAUCUUUUUAGAACUUAUGUAUAUAAAAUAACUGAAACUUUAUGUCUACUGAAUAACAACUCCCCAUUUUCCUAUCCACCAGCUCCUGGAAAAAACCAUUCUGAUCUCUGCUUCUAUUAGUUUGACUAUUUUAAAUACCUCAAAUGAGUGAAAUAAUGCAGAUGACAUGAUCUCAUAUGCAGAAAAUCCUAAAGACUACACACACACACACACACACACACACACACACACACACACACACACUGUUAGAACUAAUAAAUUUAAUAAAGCUGUAGAAUGCAAAAUCAACAUACAGAAUUUAGUUGUGUUUCUAUAUACAAAAAAUAAAAUAUCUAAAAUAGGUUUUUAGAAAUCUCACUUACCAUAGCAUCAAAAUGAAUAAAAUAUGAAGCUAGGUGCACUGGCUC
rnacentral:lncRNA from 10 species